UACGUAGGGUGCAAGCGUUAAUCGGAAUUACUGGGCGUAAAGCGUGCGCAGGCGGUUCGUUGUGUCGGUGGUGAAAGCCCCGGGCUUAACCUGGGAAUGGCCAUGGAAACUGGCGAACUGGAGUGUGGCAGAGGGGGGUGGAAUUCCGCGUGUAGCAGUGAAAUGUGUAGAGAUGCGGAGGAACACCGAUGGCGAAGGCAGCCCCCUGGGCUAGCACUGACGCUCAGGCACGAAAGCGUGGGGAGCAAACAGG
rnacentral:rRNA from 1 species